rnacentral:sRNA from 1 species
CUGGCCUUUUCUGUUUUGUUUUCACUCACAGAGGGUGGGACAGGAGGAAGAGUGAAGGAAAAGGUCAC